rnacentral:rRNA from 1 species
UACGAAGGGGGCUAGCGUUGCUCGGAAUCACUGGGCGUAAAGCGCACGUAGGCGGCUUGUUAAGUCAGGGGUGAAAUCCUGGAGCUCAACUCCAGAACUGCCUUUGAUACUGGCGAGCUUGAGUUCGGGAGAGGUGAGUGGAACUGCGAGUGUAGAGGUGAAAUUCGUAGAUAUUGGGAAGAACACCGGUGGCGAAGGCGGCGACCUGGUCCGUGACUGACGCUGAGGCGCGAAAGCGUGGGGAGCAAACAGG